UGACUCAGUGGUAAAGAAUCUGCCUGCCAAGCAGGACACACAGGUUCAAUCCCUGU
rnacentral:tRNA from 1 species